GUUUGACAAUAUUUCUUGGUCGGGUAACUGCAAAUUUUUGUUUCCACGCAGUUAAGCGUGCUUGGGCGAGAGUAGUACUAUGAUGGGUGACCUCCCGGGAAGUCCUCGUGUUGCAUCCC
rnacentral:rRNA from 1 species